AACGAGGUCCAUCCAGUCGCAAGACUGGGGAAGACCGAGUGGCGAACGGGUGAGUAACACGUGAGGAACGUGCCCCGGAGACCGGGAUAACAGCGGGAAACCGCUGCUAAUACCGGAUACCUUCCUUUGACCGCAUGGUCGAUUGAAGAAAUGGAUUCCGCUCCGGGAGCGCCUCGCGGUCUAUCAGCUUGUUGGUGGGGUAACGGCCUACCAAGGCGACGACGGAUAGCUGGUCUGAGAGGACGAUCAGCCACACUGGGACUGAGACACGGCCCAGACUCCUACGGGAGGCAGCAGUGGGGAAUCUUGCCCAAUGGGCGAAAGCCUGAGGCAGCAACGCCGCGUGUGGGAUGAAGGCCCUUGGGUUGUAAACCACUUUCAGCAGGGACGAAAAUGACGGUACCUGCAGAAGAAGCCCCGGCCAACUACGUGCCAGCCGCCGCGGUAA
rnacentral:rRNA from 1 species